rnacentral:snRNA from 1 species
CACUCCAGUGGUUAUAACUAAUCGGAUAAACAUCAUGCCUUUUACCUGACGUUUUCGAGUUACAGCCAUACACAAUGGAGUUGAUCACUACUUUUUGGACCCGCUUCGGCGGGUU